rnacentral:rRNA from 1 species
AAGCCAGCUUGACUGCGAGCGUGACGGCGCGAGCAGGUGCGAAAGCAGGUCAUAGUGAUCCGGUGGUUCUGAAUGGAAGGGCCAUCGCUCAACGGAUAAAAGGUACUCCGGGGAUAACAGGCUGAUACCGCCCAAGAGUUCAUAUCGACGGCGGUGUUUGGCACCUCGAUGUCGGCUCAUCACAUCCUGGGGCUGAAGUAGGUCCCAAGGGUAUGGCUGUUCGCCAUUUAAAGUGGUACGCGAGCUGGGUUUAGAACGUCGUGAGACAGUUCGGUCCCUAUCUGCCGUGGGCGCUGGAGAACUGAGGGGGGCUGCUCCUAGUACGAGAGGACCGGAGUGGACGCAUCACUGGUGUUCGGGUUGUCAUGCCAAUGGCACUGCCCGGUAGCUAAAUGCGGAAGAGAUAAGUGCUGAAAGCAUCUAAGCACGAAACUUGCCCCGAGAUGAGUUCUCCCUGACCCUUUAAGGGUCCUAAGGAACGUUGAAGACGACGACGUUGAUAGGCCGGGUGUGUAAGCGCAGCGAUGCGUUGAGCUAACCGGUACUAAUGAACCGUGAGGCUUAACCUU